UCCCCGAUAGCUCAGUUGGUAGAGCAAGCGGCUGUUAACCGCUUUGUCCAAGGUUCGAGUCCUUG
rnacentral:tRNA from 1 species